GGAAAAGGAAAAAGCAGAAAGCCUUACCAAGAACCUUCUCCCCUACUUCUCUACAGAGUAAAAGACAAGCUUCUGUGGAAAGGGCAACAAACACUAUCACCCUCAGACCAGAGGUGAACAUCCUUUGCAGCAAGGUGAAAGAGACACAAAACACCCUCUGCCCUUGAAGGAGAGACAGGAGACGCCUCUGUUGGCUUCUCUGCUGCUUAACAGAAGUCAUGAGAUGCCUGGACUAAAUGGUUUUCCUGGGAACUCUGACUCUGGCCACAAGAUGAAGACUGACAAAUUUCCUUUCUCUGUUUAUGGAGGGAGACUUCACAACAUUCACUGAAAGAGGAGCAAAGGACCUGGUUUUUGCCAUGACUGGCUUUGGCCCCGUGAAUGAAUGUUUUUCUGGCAUUGGAAAGCGGAUUGCAAAGAGAGCAGAACCACAAAUGGGCUAUGAGGAAAUGUGUUCAAUGAAGAAAACAAAAUCUCUGACAAGAUCCCACAUAAGACAACAUCUCAGCAUCUUCUGUGAUUUGUGAACCCAAGUAAAGCACUUCUUAGAGUUAUCUGGCACAUUCGCAACUAAUAGCUUUCCAUGAAUAAAUACUGUGGCAACCACGUUAACUGUACAAAAACAAAUUGCUUAUUUCUCAUAUCCAUGCUGGAAGAUUAUCUGGCUGGCCUUAUCAGCUGUGAUGUCAGGAAUGUCAGCCAGUUAUCCUGUGGUGCA
rnacentral:lncRNA from 1 species